AUUGAACGCUGGCGGCAUGCCUUACACAUGCAAGUCGAACGGUAACAGGUCUUCGGAUGCUGACGAGUGGCGAACGGGUGAGUAAUACAUCGGAACGUGCCUAGUAGUGGGGGAUAACUACUCGAAAGAGUGGCUAAUACCGCAUGAGAUCUACGGAUGAAAGCAGGGGAUCGCAAGACCUUGUGCUACUAGAGCGGCCGAUGGCAGAUUAGGUAGUUGGUGGGAUAAAAGCUUACCAAGCCGACGAUCUGUAGCUGGUCUGAGAGGACGAUCAGCCACAAUGGGACUAAGACACGGCCCAGACUCCUACGGGAGGCAGCAGUGGGGAAUUUUGGACAAUGGGCGAAAGCCUGAUCCAGCAAUGCCGCGUGCAGGAUGAAGGCCUUCGGGUUGUAAACUGCUUUUGUUCGGAACGAAAAGCCCCGGGUUAAUACCCUGGGGUCAUGACGGUACCGUAAGAAUAAGCACCGGCUAACUACGUGCCAGCAGCCGCAGUAA
rnacentral:rRNA from 1 species